rnacentral:pre_miRNA from 1 species
GGCGAAUGUCGGUAUGGUCUCUUUUUCAAAGAAAGGUUUCGAUUAAGCGAAGUGACUAGACCGAACACUCGUGCU